rnacentral:snRNA from 1 species
AUACUUACCUGGCAGGGGGGACACCAUGAUCAAGAAGGCGGUUCACCCAGGGCGAGGCUCGUCCAUUGCACUCCGGCCGUGCUGAUCCCUGCGAAUUCCCCAAAUGUGGGAAUCUCGACUGCAUAAUUUAUGGUGGUGGGGGACUGCGUUCGCGCUCUCCCCUG